GGGGAAAAAAAACCAGAUACAGGACACACA
rnacentral:piRNA from 1 species